rnacentral:snoRNA from 1 species
ACCGAUGAUGAGUGUCAUCCCAGCCGAAUGAUGACGACGUUUUAUCCCCACCUGAGG